rnacentral:rRNA from 1 species
GACGUAGGAGGCGAGCGUUGUCCGGAUUCAUUGGGCGUAAAGAGCACGCAGGCGGUUUGGCAAGUCGGAUGUGAAAACCCGGAGCUCAACUCCGGACCUGCAUCCGAAACUGCCCGACUAGAGGUAGGUAGGGGAGAUCGGAAUUCCUGGUGUAGCGGUGAAAUGCGCAGAUAUCAGGAGGAACACCGGUGGCGAAGGCGGGUCUCUGGGCCGAUACUGACGCUGAGGAGCGAAAGCGUGGGGAGCAAACAGG